UCACCCCUUGGUCACUCCUUGGCCACCCCUUGGCCACUCCUUGGCCACUCCUUGGCCACCCCUUGGUCACUCCUUGGCCACCCCUUGGUCACUCUUUGGUCACUCCUUGGCCAUUCCUUGGCCACCCCUUGGUCACUCCUUGGUCACUCCUUGGUCACUCCUUGGUCACUCCUUGGUCACUCCUUGGCCACUCCUUGGUCACUCCUUGGCCACUCCUUGGUCACCCCUUGGUCACUCCUUGGUCACUCCUUGGCCACCCCUUGGCCACCCCUUGGUCACUCCUUGGCCACCCCUUGGCCACCCCUUGGCCACCCCUUGGUCACUCCUUGGUCACUCCUUGGUCACUCCUUGGCCACUCCUUGGCCACUCUUUGGUCACUCCUUGGCCAUUCCUUGGCCACCCCUUGGUCACUCCUUGGUCACUCCUUGGCCACCCCUUGGUCACUCCUUGGUCACUCCUUGGUCACUCCUUGGUCACUCCUUGGUCACCCCUUGGCCACCCCUUGGCCACCCCUUGGUCACUCCUUGGCCACUCCUUGGUCACUCUUUGGCCACCCCUUGGUCACUCCUUGGCCACUCCUUGGUCACUCCUUGGCCACUCCUUGGUCACUCCUUGGUCACUCCUUGGUCACUCCUUGGUCACUCCUUGGUCACUCCUUGGCCACUCCUUGGUCACUCUUUGGCCACCCCUUGGUCACUCCUUGGCCACUCCUUGGUCACUCCUUGGCCACUCCUUGGUCACUCCUUGGUCAACUUUUGGUGGCCCCAGUUGACCUUGGAGAGCUUCGAGUUGGUCCCAGCUGUCCCAGGUUGUCCCAGUUGUCCCCAGCUGUCCCCAGUUGUCCCCAGUUGUCCCCAGUUGUCCCAGAUGUCCCCAGUUUUCCCAGUUGUCCCCAGCUGGCCCCAGUUGUCCCCAGCUGGCCCCAGUUGUCCCCAGUUGUCCCCAGCUGUCCCCAGAUGUCCCCAGCUGUCCCAGGUGGUCCCAGGUGGUCCCGGGUGGUCCCGGGUGGUCCCAGGUGGCCCCAGCUGUCCCCAGUUGUCCCCAGCUGUCCCAGUUGUCCCCAGUUGUCCCAGUUGUCCCCAGUUGGUCCCAGCUGUCCCAGGUGGCCCCAGGAGGUCCCAGCUGUCCCAGGUGGCCCCGGGUGGUCCCGGGUGGUCCCAGCUGUGCCCUGUCCCCAGACCAGAAGCCGGACGUGGUCUACGCCGACAUCGGUGGAAUGGACAUCCAGAAGCAGGAGGUGCGCGAGGCCGUCGAGCUGCCCCUGACCCACUUCGAGCUCUACAAGCAGGUGAGACCCCAGGGGGCCUCCUGGGACCUUCUGGGACCUUCUGGGGAUCUCCUGGGGAUCUCCUGGGACCUUCUGGGGAUCUCCUGGGGGUCUCCUGGGGAUCUCCUGGGACCUCCUGGGACCUUCUGGGGAUCUCCUGGGACCUCCUGGGA
rnacentral:lncRNA from 1 species